rnacentral:rRNA from 1 species
GAUGAACGCUGGCGGCGUGCCUAAUACAUGCAAGUCGAGCGAACAGAUGAGGAGCUUGCUCCUCUGACGUUAGCGGCGGACGGGUGAGUAACACGUGGAUAACCUACCUAUAAGACUGGGAUAACUUCGGGAAACCGGAGCUAAUACCGGAUAAUAUAUUGAACCGCAUGGUUCAAUAGUGAAAGACGGUUUUGCUGUCACUUAUAGAUGGAUCCGCGCCGCAUUAGCUAGUUGGUAAGGUAACGGCUUACCAAGGCAACGAUGCGUAGCCGACCUGAGGGGGUGAUCGGCCACACUGGAACUGAGACACGGUCCAGACUCCUACGGGAGGCAGCAGUAGGGAAUCUUCCGCAAUGGGCGAAAGCUUGACGGAGCAACGCCGCGUGAGUGAUGAAGGUCUUCGGAUCGUAAAACUCUGUUAUUAGGGAAGAACAAAUGUGUAAGUAACUAUGCACGUCUUGACGGUACCUAAUCAGAAAGCCACGGCUAACUACGUG